rnacentral:rRNA from 1 species
GACGAACGCUGGCGGCAUGCCUAACACAUGCAAGUCGAACGGAACUUGUUGAAUGAAGUUUUCGGAUGGAUUUUGAUAAGUUUAGUGGCGGACGGGUGAGUAACGCGUGAGCAACCUGCCUUUCAGAGGGGGACAACAGUUGGAAACGACUGCUAAUACCGCAUAACGUAUUUCGGAGGCAUCUCUGGAAUACCAAAGAUUAUAUCGCUGAAAGAUGGGCUCGCGUACGAUUAGAUAGUUGGUGAGGUAACGGCUCACCAAGUCGACGAUCGUUAGCCGGACUGAGAGGUUGAACGGCCACAUUGGGACUGAGACACGGCCCAG